rnacentral:rRNA from 1 species
GCUAACAAUGAUCCACUCAGCAUCACAUUCCAAUUUCCAAAGCUUGAACUCACGGCCCCAAUUUGGGCCACCAUUACCCCAAAGAUGAAAGAAACAUUUAAAAUGAUCACAAGAGAAAGAACGGAGCCUGAGAAUGAUUAAAGCCACAGCUUUGCAAGAAACUUGAAAACCAAAAACCCUCUCCGUGAUCAUAAAAACCAUGAACUCAAUAGCAGAACCCCCGAUGGCCGCCUCAAGUGCCGCUGCCACCGAAUCCUCAGUCAAAUGAAAAUCAUGCCGUCCAAAAGAAAUUACCAUGGUGAAGAAGCCCGUGUCAUCCAUGGGGUGCACCGGAAACCCCGUAGAUUGAAAAACCUUAUCCGCAAAAACCAGACCCUUGGAGAAGUCCAAGCCAAGGGUGGAUCCAUCAGCAGAACCCAUAGAGAUGGGUAUUAGAACGUAGAUCUCAGCGCGCCAGAGAGAUCUAUUGGAGAGGAAAUGAAAUUUGGUGGCUAGGGGAGGAGAUGAAGACUGGAUGCCCAUCAAUCGCCGGGGUGGGGUGGGAGCACCUAUCAUGAGUCGUAUCUAUGGUGGCAAGAAUUUCACCAUUGGGAUCAUGUACCUUUCGAAGCACUUUCACGUGUGAACCGAAGUCAUCUUGCCCAAGACCAAUGGAGACCUACCUAUAGUAGAACGACGUCGAGUUGGCGGGGAAGGAAGACUCGGCAUGAAGGCCAGAAAAUUGUGUGGAACGUAGUGGUAAUAGUACGCACCCCACUCCGAAACAAAGAAAAAGGUGCUUGCCGCACUCACGAGGGACUGCCAGUGAGAUACUGGAGGAAGGUGGGGAUGAUGUCAAGUCCACAUGGCCCUUAUGGGCUAGGCCACACACGUGCUACAAUCGCAAUGACAAUGGGAAGCAAGGCUGUAAGGCGGAGCGAAUUCGGAAAGAUUGCCUCAGUUCGGAUUGUUCUCUGCAACUCAGGAACAUGAAGUCGAAACCGCUAGUAAUCGUGAAUCAGCAUGCCACAAUGAAUAUGCACCUGGGCCCUGUACACACCACCCGUCCACCCUGGGAAUUGGUUUCGCCCGAAGCAUCAGUCCAAUGAUCACCCAUGACUUCUGUGUACCACUAGUGCCACAAAGGCCUUUGGUGGUCUUAUUGGCGCAUGCCAUGGUGGGGUCUUCGACUGGGGUGAAGUCGUAACAAGGUAGCUGUAGGGAAACCUGUGGCAG